GGGGGCGUUGCUGAACUGGUAUAAGCGGAGGGCUUAAAACCCUUUGUCCCGACAGGGAAUUGCAGGUUCGAAUCCUGCCGCCCCCACCA
rnacentral:tRNA from 1 species